GAAAUUCUUUUUAAACUACUCCCUG
rnacentral:tRNA from 1 species